CCGUUUAAUUAUACCUCCCGUUUGCGGGUACGCGCGUAUUAAAUUAUACGAAUGAAUGGCCGAGUAUUAAUUGCGUGUUCGGGAGGAAUUCGCAAUGAGUUCAGCAAAAGUUCGUCGAUUGUGCUCGCUGAUAAAUCACCAUCGGAAUAAAACAGAAGCCACGCGUUUCAAUCAAUAAAAUUGUCGGGCGUUAGACAGCAAAGCUCGCAAAAAACACAAUAUAUAAUAGCAGCCUAACCUAGAAACUUUAGACUUCUAUAAGCCAGUCACUGGAUGGCAGGUGACACGAGACCGUUAUACUGGAGAACACAUUCAAGUAGAGCACAAUAUGGAGCACAAUCGGUUUUCCUUCGUCGGUCAACACUCUGCACUUUAUGCCUCAUGAACUGUUUUGCAUUAGCAAUCUGUUUUAACGCGCUCCUUAAUGUUAUAACUUAAAUUGUAAUCAUUCAAAUUUUCUACCUAAUUUUACUGAAUGAGAACAUGAAUCAGGAUAUUACAGUUUAUCAAUAAAUAUUUACCGCUUUGAUGGGUGAGUGUCUCCGACAAGUACAAUAAAAAGUAUUUUGUUUCCGCGUUGAAAAAAUUGUCGAUUUUAAGAGCAUAUUAAACUUCCUGUUUCCUGUA